GUGGAAAUAAACAAGCUUGCAGAAGUGAAACACCAGGCUGCACAGUUGGAGGAACAGGAAACGACCAAGGGGUACAAUUGCUAUCAAUCUGUCUUCCUUUUGUGUGGAGGCUUUCGUCAACAACGUCUGCUUCCGUCUCAUUAGCCACUGGUGAUUGCAAGCUAGGUAAGUAGUGCUUCUGCUGGUCACGGUGAAGUUUCUCAGACAAGGGGGACUCCCUCUUUCAA
rnacentral:lncRNA from 1 species